rnacentral:snRNA from 1 species
GAUUCAGCCCUUUGUCGCU